UACGCUUUCUUCUUGGGAAAGGCAACAAUAUUACAUGUUUUGUAGUUGCUGCUGUUUCUAGUGACAGGUACCUCACAGUCUGUUUUGUUAAAAAGGAGUACCAAGUUCAGUGGUCCCAUGAAAGAGCAUUGUUAUACAGAGAGGAUGUUGGCAGAGUCCAACCUUCCAUGCUGACAACUGUCGGUAAGAUAGUACUGCCUCUCAGAUCAAGUGAAAACAUAAGUAUCAGCUUUUUGCCAGAAUCACAGCAAAAGAGGAAGAAGGAUAUAGGGAAAGGAAAUACUACAAUGGGUUCUGCUGCUACUAACAAUUUUCCUUCCAUUCACAAAGUAUAAGUCUUAAAGCCCAUUAACCUGUGGAUGACCUGACUCAAGGUUCACUGGAACCCAGGGGAAUCUUCCAGUGGUUUCAUUGUUAACUGUAGUACAUUCAGCAUUUAUCAGACAUCAGGAAAGAGAAGGAAAGGAAUUUUUCUCACAGGCCUUAAUGGAGAUGCUAUUUUAGAAAAUGUAGAACUUUAAUGAUGAAAUGUCAACAUAAUUCCUAAAAUUGGAUAUGAAGAGAUAUACAAAGCAAAAAGGAAGUCAAGUGAAACUUAAGUGAAACACAGUCUAAAGCAGAAGGAGCAACUUGUCUAGAAUAACUCCUGUUUGCUUCAUUGGCAGUAUGUGAAAUACCCAGCACAUUCUGUGAUGUUUGCUUUCUUAUAUUCUUGGCUUGUCACAAAAGCAGUGUGUGAACUGGGUUUCUGGA